CACACAGGUCUUCAGAAUACCAGUUAUGCUGGGAAGCACAGCAGACUGUUCUCAUCAAAGAAGAACUUAUCAUAAAUUAUUUUACCGGUAGCUGAAAAGCAAGCCGAGGGAGACUCUGAGAGAUGUGGGUGCCCUGAAUGUAUCAGAUCUCUGUCUGCCUUCUGCAGCUGUAGCAGCAUGCUAGAUGAUGGAAUAGCAGUGCCCUGGGCAGCAGAAGAAAGUCCUGAGACAGAACACCCAGGACAGCAUACUUACCAUGGCUUCCCUGUCUCACAAGAUUCAUCCACAUCGAACUGCCCAAGAACAAAUGUACCACGGGCUAAUCUGGAGGGCAACUCCUCCAUCUUUCAUGAAAACAUCAAGAGGCACAGGACGAAGAUCAAUGGAGUCGUAAGAAGAUUUUGGAUUUGUGUGUGUGGCCUCUGACAAAACUGUUUCCUUUGUUUCUGAUACUCCUUGAAACCUCGCAGUUCAAAACCUACUUUUUUGGUUUAAGAACUCUUUCCUUGCUUCUUCCCCAUGCUUGGAAAAGAGAUCACUGAAAAUAUGAUCAAGACAAUCUAUUUCCAGCAGACGAAGAGGUUAAGGUUGCAAGUAAAAGUUCCCAGCAUCAUUAGAGUUUAAAGAGACAUUGCAAUACUACAGCUUAAAAGAUUCAUACCAUCAAACACU
rnacentral:lncRNA from 1 species